rnacentral:rRNA from 1 species
UGAGGAAUAUUGGGCAAUGGGGGCAACCCUGACCCAGCAACGCCGCGUGAAGGAAGAAGGCUUUCGGGUUGUAAACUUCUUUGACGAGGGACGAAGAAAUGACGGUACCUCGAAAACAAGCCACGGCUAACUACGUGCCAGCAGCCGCGGUAAUACGUAGGGAGCAAGCGUUGUCCGGAAUUACUGGGUGUAAAGGGCGAGUAGGCGGGACAAAAAGUCAGAUGUGAAAACUAUGGGCUCAACCCAUAGCCUGCAUUUGAAACUUUUGUUCUUGAGGGAUGGAGAGGUAAGCGGAAUUCCUAGUGUAGCGGUGAAAUGCGUAGAUAUUAGGAGGAACACCAGUGGCGAAGGCGGCUUACUGGACAUCUACUGACGCUGAGGAGCGAAAGCGUGGGGAGCGAACAGG